GUCAGCAUGAUGCAGUGGUUUGAGCAUUGGACUACAACUCUGGAGACCAAGGCUCAAAUCCUUGUUCUGUUC